CAAGUCGAACGAGAAAGUCCUUUCGGGGAUGAGUAAAGUGGCAGACGGGUGAGUAACGCGUGAGAAUCUACCCUAAAGUGGAGAAUACCUUCGAGAAAUCGAAGUUAAUACUGCAUACGUCCCUUCGGGGAGAAAGAUGGCUUAUUUUAGCUGUCGCUUAAGGAUGAGCUUGCGUGCUAUUAGCUAGUUGGUAGGGUAAUGGCCUACCAAGGCGAUGAUGGCUAGUCGGCCUGAGAGGGUGUACGACCACACUGGAACUUAGACACGGUCCAGACUCC
rnacentral:rRNA from 1 species